GGGUACUCGAGUGGCGAACGGGUGAGUAACACGUGGGCAACCUGCCCCUAGCUCUGGAAUAACACCUGGAAACAGGUGCUAAUACCGGAUAAUAACUGUCGAGGGCAUCCUUGACGGUUCAAAGUUUUUCGGCUAGGGAUGGGCCCGCGGCCUAUCAGCUUGUUGGUGAGGUAAUGGCUCACCAAGGCGACGACGGGUAGCCGGCCUGAGAGGGCGACCGGCCACACUGGGACUGAGAUACGGCCCAGACUCCUACGGGAGGCAGCAGUGGGGAAUAUUGCGCAAUGGGCGAAAGCCUGACGCAGCGACGCCGCGUGAGGGACGACGGCCUUCGGGUUGUAAACCUCUUUCAGCUCUGACGAAGCGAAAGUGACGGUAGGAGCAGAAGAAGCACCGGCCAACUACGUGCCAGCAGCCGCGGUAAUACGUAGGGUGCAAGCGUUGUCCGGAAUUAUUGGGCGUAAAGAGCUCGUAGGCGGUCUGUCGCGUCGAAUGUGAAAACCCGGGACUCAACUCCGGGCCUGCAUUCGAUACGGGCAGACUAGAGUUCGGUAGGGGAGACUGGAAUUCCUGGUGUAGCGGUGAAAUGCGCAGAUAUCAGGAGGAACACCGGUGGCGAAGGCGGGUCUCUGGGCCGAUACUGACGCUGAGGAGCGAAAGCGUGGGGAGCAAACAGGAUUAGAUACCCUGGUAGUCCACGCCGUAAACGUUGGGCGCUAGGUGUGGGGAUCCUUCCACGAUCUCUGUGCCGCAGCUAACGCAUUAAGCGCCCCGC
rnacentral:rRNA from 1 species